rnacentral:rRNA from 1 species
UACGUAGGGGGCAAGCGUUGUUCGGAAUCAUUGGGCGUAAAGAGCGUGUAGGCGGCCAGAUAAGUCCGCUGUGAAAUCUCGAGGCUCAACUUCGAGCUGUCGGUGGAAACUGUCUGGCUAGAGUCCGGAAGAGGAGAUGGAAUUCCUGGUGUAGCGGUGAAAUGCGCAGAUAUCAGGAAGAACACCCGUGGCGAAGGCGGUUCUCUGGGACGGUACUGACGCUGAGACGCGAAAGCGUGGGGAGCGAACAGG